UACGGAGGGGUGCGAGCGUUGUCCGGAAUCACUGGGCGUAAAGGGCGCGUAGGCGGCCUGAUAAGUAGGGGGUGAAAUCCUGCGGCUUAACCGCAGGGGCUGCCUUUCUAAACUGUCAGGCUAGAGCACAGUAGAGGCAGGUGGAAUUCCCGGUGUAGCGGUGGAAUGCGUAGAGAUCGGGAAGAACAUCAGUGGCGAAGGCGGCCUGCUGGGCUGUUGCUGACGCUGAGGCGCGACAGCGUUGGGGAGCAAACAGG
rnacentral:rRNA from 1 species